GCCGCGUUCGUCUAGGGGUUAAGGACGCCGCCCUUUCACGGCGGUAACACGGGUUCAAAUCCCGUACGCGGUA
rnacentral:tRNA from 1 species